rnacentral:rRNA from 1 species
CAGCCGUAAACUAUGCGCGUUAGGUGUAUCGGUGACCACGAGUUACCGAGGUGCCGAAGGGAAACCGUGAAACGUGCCGCCUGGGAAGUACGGUCGCAAGGCUGAAACUUAAAGGAAUUGGCGGGGGAGCACCACAACAGGUGGAGCCUGCGGUUUAAUUGGAUUCAACACCGUAAAACUCACCAGGGAAGACUGUUACAUGAAGGCCGAGAUGAAGACUCUGCUAGAUUUUCAGAGAGGUGGUGCAUGGCGUCAGUGACU